UUUUUUGAGGGGCCUGUUUGCCAGCCUCCUGCCCUGCGACUAUGGCUCUGGAAAGUUUUGCCCUUCUUGGGAACUUAUUUGGGGCUUAUUGACUUGUAUUGGACUGUAUAUGGCCAUUUAAAGACUGUAUUUGGGCAUAAUGGAUUUUUAUUGUGCUGUUUCUGGCCCUUUAAGUACUUUGGGAAAGGACCUGCAGUUUUGGCACGCACUUCGGAUGCUGUCGAAGUGGCCGCCAUUAGAAAACCGAACACGUGGCCGCAGCCAUUUUGAUUCAUUCGAAUAUGAUUAGCGGUGUGUGCCGUCAAACUCAUGAAAAUAAAAUCGGCUACAGAACGGCACAAACACCGCUGAAGUUUUACCUUCCCUGGAACUAAUGCAUUUGACAGUUCGACAAUUCAAAUAGUUGUUGUUCGUCUGUUUGAACUGACUCUAACAUGGGAAAUAGACCGGCCGCACAGCCUGAUUCUCUGGAACUGUUUUGGGCAUGAAAAUGUGCUUGUGGUCGGUCAUAAAAGGACUUCCAGCUAACUUUUUAACCCCU